UACAGAGGAGCCAAGCGUUGUCCGGAUUGACUGGGCGUAAAGCGCACGCAGGCGGUUGCGCGCGUGGGGUGUGAAAUCUGGCCGCUUAACGGCCAGGCGCCAUCCCAUACGGCGCGACUGGAGUGAUGCAGAGGUCGAUGGAAUUGCCGGUGUAGCGGUGAAAUGCGCAGAUAUCGGGAGGAACACCUAUGGCGAAGGCAGCUCGCUGGGACGUUACUGACGCUGAGACGCGAAAGCGUGGGGAGCAAACAGG
rnacentral:rRNA from 1 species